CCUACGGGUGGCAGCAGUGGGGAAUAUUGCACAAUUGAGGAAACCCUGAUCCAGCGACGCCGCGUGCAUGAAGAAGUAAUUCGUUAUGUAAAGCUCUAUCAGCAGGGAAGAAAAUGACGGUACCUGAGUAAGAAGCCCCGGCUAACUACGUGCCAGCAGCCGCGGUAAUACGUAGGGGGCAAGCGUUAUCCGGAUUUACUGGGUGUAAAGGGGGCGUAGACGGCAGUGCAAGUCUGGAGUGAAAGGCGGGGGCUCAACCCCCGGACUGCCCUGGAAACUGUACGGCUGGAGUGCAGGAGAGGUAAGUGGAAUGUCUAGUGUAGCGGUGAAAUGCGUAGAGAUCAGGCGGAACACCAGUGGCGAAGGCGGCUUACUGGACUGCAACUGACGUUGAGGCUCGAAAGCGUGGGGAGCAAACAGGAUUAGAUACCCUGGUAGUC
rnacentral:rRNA from 1 species